GGGAGCCGGAUGCGGAAAAGCCGCACGUCCGGAUCUGCGAGGGGCAGGCCCAGCAAUGGGCUUGUCUACUCACCCCAU
rnacentral:ncRNA from 1 species